rnacentral:lncRNA from 1 species
UUCCUAAACUGCUGGAGGAUACACCUCUGAUAGCUUGAGACAAAUAUCCUCUUGAUCAUUGUUUCACCAUAUUUGUCUUUGCUCAUGGAGAACCAUUUUGAUCCGUGGUUUAGCCUCCCAGGUGAUUGAACAAUACCGGUGAUCUGAGGCAGACCCUCUGUGACGGAUAACAGAAAAGAAAAUUGAGGAUCAGAAAAUACGCACAAUUUGCAAAAACCAUGGGAGUCCAUUCUCAAUUUUCUGUGCAAAUUGGGGAAGGCUGUUGAUAAUCGGUGGAUGCUAUAGUGCCCAUGGAAAGAC